UGAGAGUUCUUGUUCACGCCUCACUGUGGCACGCGAACUUGUACACCUUUGAAGCAAUUCCCUGGGGGACAUAAAUCCACCGUGCCUGACAAAUACAAGCAAGGACCAUGGGGUAGCAUUACUGUACCCAAUAAAGGUCCGAAUAUUGUCACCGUCACUUCUCCUCCUUCCAUCCAAUCUCUUGUCAUACUUCCUUCCCCCCUUCCGCCCCUCUUCCAUCCUCCCCUCACGGAACCCUUAGCGUCCUCCUGUUGACUAAAUUUCCUCGAUGACGUAAGAGUCCACGUACAUCGUCCAUGUAGGUGAUGCUUCUGAAUGAAUGAGUGUCCCCUCCCAUCUCCAUUACUAGUACUACGGGAUGUCUAUAAGAGCAGAUCGCCGGGACAGCCCGCUGAAUUUCAUGAGGUACCGAGGUGCGAGAGGGAGACGCGAAGAUUGAAAGAUCAAUCAGAAUUCCAGCCACUUUCGCCGAAAAUUACGCACCGGCGCUGACGAUGAGUUUGAUCAAGUCGCAAACUGAAGAAAUCUCAGCAGGACCGGUGAAGACAGGAGUAGGGGGGGGGUAAGUUCUCCUUUUCAUUGUGCCAGUUAUUUUUUGCCUUCUGGAAAUUUUUAAGAAUGAUCACAAAAAGCUGUCUCGCUCCACGUGUGGCGAGAAAUUACGACAAGGGCGAGCUUGUUAAAUCGGUGUCUGCUCACUCUUUUCUUGCAGUCACCGAAUUUCCCUCUGCGUGCCGAUUCGUGAAUCUACGGUAGAUUACAGAAGCUGGAAGUUACUGCAGUGUGAGUCACUUUGGCGCACAUGGGCAGUGACAACUGUGAAAAAAGGGAGAGAAUGUCUUGUAGGGUGUAGGCUACGCUGACUGCAUGUUAACCAGGCUGCAUCCCCGCAGAUAGUAAGAGAAUCACGACAUGCG